rnacentral:rRNA from 1 species
UACGUAGGGGGCUAGCGUUGUCCGGAUUUAUUGGGCGUAAAGAGCGUGUAGGCGGCCAGAUAGGUCCGUUGUGAAAACUCGAGGCUCAACCUCGAGACGCCGAUGGAAACCAUUUGGCUAGAGUCCGGAAGAGGAGAGUGGAAUUCCUGGUGUAGCGGUGAAAUGCGCAGAUAUCAGGAAGAAUACCCGUGGCUAAGGCGGCUCUCUAGUACGGUACUGACGCUGAGACGCGAAAGCGUGGGGAGCGAACAGG